AAAAUACAGAACGAAAAAUAAGCGUAGUAAAUACUACUAGGAACCACCUCCUUGGCCAGCUCAAUCUCCCUUGAGCUGGCUUUUCU
rnacentral:sRNA from 1 species